AUCAGUAAAAUAUAUUUCCUUAUCAUAUUUGGUUUUGUCUUUGACAGGUUCCAUCAUAGUUACUGUCUAUAUUUUGAGAAGAUGAUUGAUUGCCAAGUUAAGAACAGGAAAUAGGGACAAGGUCACAUUACGGCUUCCAAAUAGAUCAUUUGCUAAUUGUCCAGUGAAGAAGGCUUCUGUAGCCAGGCCCAGGAAGGUGGGAACCAAAGGUCCACAGUCUCUUUAGGCAUGUCCAUUUCUAAGCACCCAGCAGCUGGAGCAGGUGCUGUCUGUCUGUUCCUUUUGGCAGCCAUGCACCAAGGGAGAAUCAAAGCUUUUGUGAAUUACGACCAUCCAGCCCUCAUUUGAAUCAAGGAGACCAGCAGCCCAGGUUGCCCAGCUGAAGCAGUCAGUUGCCCAUGGACUCUGAUGGACCUCUGGUUGACCACAAUGCAAGUGAAGCCAUAAUGAGCAACCCACCAGGAGAAGAACAUGCCCAGGUGGCCACUAAACCUGAGUCCGGACCACAGAAUAAAUGUAGAGGACCUGUGAAACAACCUGGAGCCACGGAUCUGUGGCUAUCUGGACCCAUAUCUUGAAACAGAUCCAGCAACCAAGCACAGUCUAGAGCAGCCAAAUACAGUCAACCCACAGACCUGUGACCAGGAGAAUAAAUGCUCCCUUUAAGCCUAGAAAUCUUAGAGCCAUUUGUUAUAUAGUACUAUAUAGCAGAGGUUUAUGAUGUCUAGAAUCUGAAAAACUCUCAGAAGCAACAAAAAGUGAGAGUCAGAUGCCCAAAUAAAUAAUGUCCAGAUCCUCAUUCCCCCAGUCAUUAAGACUUACUCACUCUCUUACUUCUUCUCUUACCCAACCCACAUCUCCUGGUGCCUCAUUACCUAGAGAGAUAGGGAGAGAAAGAGGGAAGAGUAUGGUCCUUUUUGUAUAUCAACUUGGCUAAACUACAAUGCCCAAUUAUUCAAUCAAAUACUCAUACGUAUGUUUCUGUGAAGGUAUUUUGUGAUUAAAGUCCAUAACCAGGUGAUUUCAGGUAAAAGAGAUAAACAUGGCCAUAGUAGGAUCCUAUCAAAAAGAAGAUGAAGCCACAUCACAUCAGGAUUACUGGACCUUCCUCAGGGACCUAGUUUCAUUUCUCAAACUCUUUGCAUCUUUCAACCGAAUGGCACAUUCAGCCUCUGAAUUGCACCUUCUCUGAGCUCUCUGACCUGUGCUUUCAUGGAGGCCAUAAGUCACACCAUUUCCUUCAUAUAUGAGAGUUUUGGGGAAAUAAUUGAUCAAGAUCCCACCCACUCAUGCCAGGUCUAGACAGAGGGAAAAUUACUAAAUCUGUAAAAGAGACACCUUGAAUGUGACAGGGAGUAGACAUACUGCAUAGUGAAGCUGAGGGCUGAGUGGUUUUUUAUGUUUAAACAGGACUAACUCCAUAUCCAACAUGUGCCGUUUCUGAGCUGUGUAUCUUAAAUAAAAGACUGGUGUUCUCUGG
rnacentral:lncRNA from 1 species